UUUUGAGCCAGAGAGUCUUACUGCUGUGUCACAGAUGAAUGAUUAUGGUCAGAGUCCUAACAACUUGCAAAGAUAUUAAUCUUCUGACUUGGGUGCUCUUCUUUCAGCCAUGCAAUAGGGAUAGAAUGUUUCUGGAGAGGAGCCGGAGUAGAGCGCUCUUAGAUAAAUGGGCACAUACACCAGAUGGAGUGCCUCCCAGAACUCAAAGCCAGGGAAGCACGCACAGCCCACAGGAAACUGGGCUGUCCUCUCUUCCUGCCUGAUUCUGACACCUUCUCACUCACUUUCAUUACGUUCUGGUUUUUCCAAGCUCAUGACCACAUCAAGACCAUAGUCUUAGGCAUAGCACAUGAGUUCAAUGGGCAUAGCCCAGAAUCUCAGGUGGAGUUCCAAAAUUCCUGGGAGACAUCUGACUGACCAAGCUCGGGUGAGGGGUAUCUCUACUCAAUUGACUCUAAAUAAGGGGAAUUGUCUUAAAAGUGAUGGGAAUGAAGUGAAAUCACGGGAAUCACAUGAGAACUGGGUCGAAUCAAUGAUUAUAAACGUUUUAAAGAAAUGUCAAGUGUCAUGAGCUUGGACGAAAACCUUUAGAAAUUCUAAUGAAACCAUUAUGUUGUAAGAAAGCUUAAGCCUUUUCAACUUAAGUAGUCGAUUCCAUUACAGGCAUCAGUAAACAUUAAAGCCUAAAAAUUCGGGAGUACAGGGGAUGUCCUUGGCGGCCAGAUAGAAGAGUGACCCAAAUGGCUGGCAGAUAUGUCACAGGUUUCAACCACAAGACAUACACCAAUAUUUAGAUAAAGAAGUCAAAAGACAAAGAGCUCUGAGAAACGGAAUCAAUGAAAUCUGGAAAGAAGAGUAAAACAGAUAAGGAAAAAUAGUCAAGCAAGGAUGCACAGAGAAUCAAUCUAGGAAGACCACCAGAAAGAGAAAUUCUAGAAUGAAUGAUGAGUGUGAGAAAUAACUGAAUAAGAACAUCUUAUAAACUGAACAAUGAAGACCUAUGAUGAAAUAACUGAAUAAGAACAUCUUAUAAACUGAACGAUGAAGAUCACUGUGAAAUAUCAGAACACAAGGCAUGAAGAUGCAAAAAAAUCUAGAAUGAGAAAAGAAUUUCCCCAAAUUAAUGUCAGACACCAAACUACAGGUCCAGGAAUCUCAGAGAACACCAAGCAGGGUAAAACAAACAAACAAGCAAACAAACUACAUCUCAGCAUUUCAUUUUCAAAUUGCAAAAAAACAAAGAUAAAAGAAAAAUCUUGAAAAAAGCCAGGGGUAGGAGGAGACACCUCAUCUACAGAGGAACAAAGACAAUUAUAUUUGACUUCUCAGAUAAGAGUAGAGUGAAAUUUAAAGUGUUGAGAGAGGGAGUUCCCAUCGUGGCACGUGGUUAACGAAUCCGACUAGGAACCAUGAGGUUGCGGGUUCGAUCCCUGGCGUUGCUCAGUGGGUUAAGGAUCUGGCAUUGCUGUGAGCUGUGGUGUAGGUCACAGACACGGCUCGGAUCCUGUGUUGCUGUGGCUGUGGUGUAGGCUGGCGGCUAUAGCUCCCCUAGCCUUGAAACCUUCUAGGGCGGGAGCGGCCCUAGAAAAGGCAAAAAGACUAAAUAAAUAAAUAAAUAAACAAAUAAAGUGUUGAGAGAAAAAAGCCUCAACCUAGAACUGUUUCCUGUGAAAUUCUCUUUCAAAAGUAAAGGAGAAAUACUUUCCCAGACAAAGCAUGAGGGAAUUUGUCGUCAGUAGACCUACCUGCAAGGAGUGUCAAAAUAAGCUCUUUAAAGAGCAGGAAAAUAAUAUAGGUCAGAAUUUCGGAUCUACAUAAAAGGAAUAGAAUCAAAGAAGGAACAAAAGAGCAAAUAAUUUUUUUUUCUUAUUCUUAACUGACCUGAAGAUAUUUUAUUCAAAACAACAAUAUAUUCAAUUAUGUACGCUUAUAUACAUAUAUCAUGAAUGUGUGUAUAUAUAUAUGCUUUUAUAUGCUUAUGUAUGCUUAUAUCUAUUCUAUAUAUGAAAUGAGCAACAGCAAUGAUAAAAGGGACAGAAGGGAGGAUUACUAGGAUUAUUUUAUUAUUAUAAGGUAUGCACACUAACCACAAAGUAGCAUAAUAUUAUUUGAAAAUGGACUUGGAUUCAUUAUAAAUGUAUACUGCAAACUCUAGGGCAACUACUAAGAAAAGGCAAAGAAAACUGGUAUGCUGAGAAAGGCAAGAAAAUAGAUAGAAUCAUUAAAAAAAAAUGCUCAACUGAAGUUCCUGUAGUGACGGAAUCCAGACUAGGAACCACGAAGGUUCCAUCCCUGGCCUCACUCAGUGGGUCAAGGAUCUGGCAUUGCCAUGAGUUGUGCUGUAGGUUGCAGACGUGGCUCGGAUCUGGCGUUGCUGUGGCUGUGGUGUAGGCUGGCAGCUGUGGCUCUGAUAGACCCCUAGCCUGGGAAUUUCCACAUGCCUCGAGUGCAACCCUAAAAAGACAAAAAAAAAAAAAAAAAAAAAAAAAAAAAAGUCAACUAAUCCCACUCCUGGGCAUCUACCCAGAGAAAACCAUGACUUGAAAAGACACAUGUACUCCAAUGUUCAUUGCAGCACUACACACUAUAGCCAAGACAUAGAAACAACCUAAAUGUCCGUCAACAGAGGAGUGGGUGAAGAUGUGGUACAUACACAAAAUGGAAUAUUACUCAGUCAUUAGAAGCAAAGAAGUAACGGCAUUUGCAGCAACAUGGAUGGACCUAGAAAUUAUCAUGCUAAGUGAAGUCAGUCAGUCAAUGAGACACCAACAUCAAAUGCUAUCACUUACAUGUGGAAUCUAAAAAAAGGACACAACAAUGAACUUCUUUGCAGAACAGAUACCAACUCACAGACUUUGAAAAACUUAUGGUUUCCAAAGGAGACAGGUUGCAGGGUGGGGGGAUGCACUGAGGGAUGGAAAUGCUAUAACAUUCGGUUGUAAUGAUAGUUGUACAACUAUAAAUGUAAUAAAAUCCAUUGAGUAAUUUUUAAAAAUAAAAAUUAAAAAAAGCUCAACUAAAACCAUAAAAGCCAGAAAAAUUGAAAGACACAAACAGGAACAAAGAAAGGCAACAAACAGAAAACAGUAACAAAAUGGUAGAUAUUGAUCCAACUAUGUCAAUAAUCACUUCAAAUAUCAAUGGUCUAAAUGUACCAACUGCAACACAGACUGUCAGAGUGGAUCCAAAACCAUGAUCUGACUUAUAUACCAUCUACAAGAAACCCACUUUAAAUAUAAAGACACAGAGAUUAGAAGUAAGUGAAUGGAGAAAAAUGCAAUCAAAAGAAAUCAAAAGAAAGCAGAAACAGCCACAUUAAUUUCAGACAAAGCAAUUUCAAAGUAAGAAAAGUAUCAUGGAUAAAGAAAAGCAUCACAUAAUGAUAAAGAGGUCAAUUGUCUAAGAUGUAAACAUUCUUAAUAUGUAUGUACUUAACAACAAAACAUCUCUUUUGCACGAGACAAAAAUGGAUAGAACCACAAGGAGAAAUAAUUACUUCAAUACCAUAUUUGGAGACUUCAAUACCCUUCUCUCAAAUACGGACAGUGCUAACAGGCAGAAAAUCAGUAAGGACAUAGUUAAAACUCUGGAGUUCCCAUUGUGGCUCAGUGGGUUAAGGACACGACAUUGUCUCUGUAAGGAUGUGGGUUCAAUCCCCGGAAUUUCCACUAACUGCAGCUCAGACUAGGAUUUAACUCCUGGCCCAGGAACUUCCAUAUGCCAAGGAUGGAGAAGGAGUGGGGAGGGGGGGAAGGAGAAGAAAGGAAAGGAGGGAGGAAGGAAGGGAAUUAAUAACCUAUCAUCUUCUAAAACACAAAGUUCCAGGCCCAGGUGAGUUCACCACUGAAUUCUACCAAACGUUUAAAGAAGAAAAUAUACCAACUGUCUACUACCUCCUUUAGAAGAUAGAGCAGGGGGGAUACUUAGUUUUUAACUCAGUCUACAAGGCCAGCAUUACCCUGAUACCAAAACCAGACAAAGACC
rnacentral:lncRNA from 1 species